rnacentral:misc_RNA from 1 species
CUCUAGGCACCAGAUUUCCCUCAUCUAAGGAUACUUCUCAACACAGCUGUCUACUGCAAUCUUUAGAACAAUAUCAACAAAUACCAUAAGUUUGAAUUGAGAAAGGGCCAUGAUGCCUAAGCUUGUUGGGAAAGUGAUGAUGUUUUCAUCCAUAAGGGCCGGCCUAAUAUGGCAUUUCCAUGAAUAGAAAGGUAAGCAGCAUUUAACUUGUCAACAUCAGGAGCAGCCAAGGGAUCAUAAAGUUCCUCCCUUUGUUCUACAAUUGGAACAGUACCGCUCAUAUCCUGGACACCAUCAACUGGUUGAGGAUAUUGUGGAUAACCAGCAUAUGCACCAUAUGCAUAUAAUGAUGGAUCUUGUGUUGCCCCAUAACCAUAGACAUCAUAACCUUGUCCAUAACCAUAAUAGGCACUCCAUUGAUCUACUUGCUGACCCCAAAUUCCCGUUGCAUCCUGUUUCCUGCCCCAAGAAAUGCGCACCGGCUGUUGACCAAUCACAUGCCCCUGCAUCCUUUGUAUGGCUUCUUCAGCAGAUGUCCUAGUUCCAAAUUGUACAAAACCACAUCCUCUUCCUACAGGAAUUUUGACAUAGACGAUCUCCCCAAACUGCAAAAAUGUUUGUCUCAGUUCCUCUUCUGUGGCAUUAGGAUCCAGGUUACCAACAAAGAUGGUGGUAUUAGUGAUGUCACUAUCAGGUGUAACCACCUGGACUGGUGUAGUGUAUGCUGGAACUGGAUAUAUGGCUUUUGCUACAGUAUAUUGCUGUUGAUAACCAGUGGUCUUCUUUGGUGUUGCUGCACUAAUACGCAUCGGCCUGGUUGAGCAAUAAACACCAUUCAUUUCAGUCAUAGCACGAUUUCGUUCAUUCUCAUCACCAAAUUUAACAAAUCCAUAUCCCUUAGAACGUCCAGUACUUGGAUCAGUCACAACCUUGGCACCUCUAACUGAUGGAUAAUUAGCUCGAAAUGUCUCUUGCAAGAGAUAAUCUGUAACAUCAGGUGCUAAGUCCCCAACAAAAAUAGAAUGCUCAGGUCCAGCAUCAGGGCGUCUCUCCCCAAUGCCAAAAGAAGCCCAAUUCAGCCUGAAAGUUUGUUCAGUUCCAGGCAUUUGUGUCCCAUUAUAUGUCUGUAAAAUCCUUUCUGCCGCUGCAUGAGAAACAAACUCCACAAACCCAUAACCUUCAGGCUGGCCAGUGAUCUUGUUGCGUAUUAUUUUAAUUGAAACUACCUCGCCAGUGUGAGCGAAGCAGGAACUGAGGUAGUUGUCAUCAACCCAAUACUGUAAAUCACCAAUCCAAAGGGUUCUGACUUCUUCUAGAGUGGUGGGUUGAUGAUCCCCUCCAUGGAUCGUUGCCGUUGGCGCUGCCAUUAACCCCCAAGCUCUCCCGGUUGAAC